rnacentral:lncRNA from 1 species
AUAAAGUUUUUUGUUUCUAAAUCAGUUUUUCUUUCUGGAUUUAUUUCAGAGCGGUUUGUGGUGAUUGGUGCACAUCACCCGGUCGUGGCGUCUGUAGGCGAAGAGGUUAUACUGAACUGCUCUGUAGACUCUCAUAUACCCGUCCACCUGCUGGAGGAGGUAACCUGGACCAAACACCCUGACAUUUUGGUUCUGCUCUUCCAAGAAAACGAGACCCUCUCAGAAGCUUCAAACGAUCGUUACCAGGGAAGAGCCGAGUUCUUCAGCUCAGAAAUCCCUCGAGGGAACUUCUCACUGAGGCUGAAGGACGUUAGGCUGGAGGAUACGGGGGAAUUCAUCUGUGCUGCUCAUGCUGCUGAUCUCUCAGCUCAAACCACUGUGCUCAUCCAGCAAAUGGGUUUCUCUUCUCUUCAGAAAUGCAUACUGGUGUUGUGUUUUAUUGCAUCAUCACUUGCAUUUGGAUUAGGAAUUCCUGUUUCCAUCCUUUUGUGGAAAGAAGCUGCAACCAGACGAGUCCUGGUCAUGUAUUUACUGCAGGCCUUUUGUCCAAACCUCUGCAUGUUCAUUGGUUUUGUACUGUGGUCAAAAGAAGGGCUUCUAAAUGAGGUCGUAGUUUGUGCAGCUGUUAUUUUUGCACGGCCUCUGAUACUGAUGAAGACUGCUCCUUAUCUUAACACACUUCCAGAACGAUUGGUGAAAGAAGUAAAACGUUUGGGUUUUCCUCUUCAUUGCAUCAUUAUAAUGAUGGCUGUGUUCUCAGUUGAGUUUGCUCAUUAUGAAGAAGGGACUUUUGGUCUGUUUGAAAGUAGCACAAUGUUGAUAACAAUUGCACUGUUAUCUGUUGGUGCUGUUGUUUCAGCUAAAUAUGCAUGCCGGACAUUUUCAUUCCUGUGCCUGGUGCUAUGCAACAUUGACCUGUUGAUUAUGUCUCUCUAUUCUGAAACAACUGAAUCACCAGGUAUGUUUCACAAGAUGAACCUCCUCUGAUUACAUGCAGAUAAAAAAGAU